rnacentral:rRNA from 1 species
ACUUUAAAGAGACUGCCGGUGUUAAACCGGAGGAAGGGUGGGGAUGACGUCAAGUCCUCACGGCCUUUAUGUCCAGGGCUACACACGUGCUACAAUGGGUGGUACAAAGAGCAGCGACCUCGCGAGUGGAAGCAAAUCUCAAAAAGCCAUCCUCAGUUCGGAUUGGAGUCUGCAACUCGACUCCAUGAAGUCGGAAUCGCUAGUAAUCGUGGAUCAGAACGCUACGGUGAAUACGUUCCCGGGCCUU